UACUGUGGAUUUUAUUGGGUUUUGUUAGGUUUAUUUUAAUUUUGUUAGUAUUAAUUUAAAUUUAGGUGAAAUAUGUUUAAACAUUAGGUUUACAUUGUUAUAUAAGAUAAAUUAUAUAUAAUUAGGAUUAGAGACCCUAUUAAUAAUGAUAUUUUUUUUCUAAGGAUUAUGUUUAAAAUAAAAAUAUUUGGCGGCUAUUUAUAUUAAAGGGAUUUGCUUUUUUAUCGAUUUGCCUCGUUUAUUAUUAUUUAUUUUGUUUUUGUAUACCGUCAUUUAGAUAAUUUUCAUAAAAUUAAUUAUGGUUAUAAUUUUUUAAAUGUUAGAUCAAGGCGCAGAUAUAAUUAAUUUUAAGUUAAUGACAAUAAUGUAUUAUUAUACGGUAUUUAUAUAAUUAAUUGGAAUAGGUGGAUUUAAAUGUAAUACUAAAUUAUUUGAAAUUAAAUUUAUGGUGUACAAAUUGCCCGUCAUUCUCUAUGAG
rnacentral:rRNA from 1 species